GGCCUUAUGGCGCAACGGUAGCGCGUCAGAUUCCAGUCCAGCACCGGAACAUCCUGAAGGUUUUGCGUUCGAAUCGCAAUAGGGUCA